CCUACGGGUGGCAGCAGUGGGGAAUAUUGCACAAUGGGCGCAAGCCUGAUGCAGCAACGCCGCGUGAGCGAAGAAGGUCUUCGGAUCGUAAAGCUCUGUCCUUGAGGAAGAAGGAAGUGACGGUACUCAAGGAGGAAGCCCCGGCUAACUACGUGCCAGCAGCCGCGGUAAUACGUAGGGGGCAAGCGUUAUCCGGAGUGACUGGGUGUAAAGAGUUGCGUAGGUGGCAUAAUAAGUAGCUAGUGAAAUCUGGUGGCUCAACCAUUCAGACUAUUAGCUAAACUGUUAAGCUCGAGACCGUUAGGGGUAACUGGAAUUUCUAGUGUAGGAGUGAAAUCCGUAGAUAUUAGAAGGAACACCAAUAGCGUAGGCAGGUUACUGGGACGGUUCUGACACUAAGGCACGAAAGCGUAGGGAGCAAACGGGAUUAGAUACCCCAGUAGUC
rnacentral:rRNA from 1 species